rnacentral:rRNA from 1 species
UACGAAGGGGGCUAGCGUUGCUCGGAAUUACUGGGCGUAAAGGGCGCGUAGGCGGACCUGUCAGUCAGGCGUGAAAGCCCAGGGCUCAACCCUGGAACUGCGCUUGAUACUGCGGGUCUAGAGUGCCGGAGAGGAUGGUGGAAUUCCCAGUGUAGAGGUGAAAUUCGUCGAUAUUGGGAAGAACACCGGUGGCGAAGGCGGCCAUCUGGACGGCAACUGACGCUGAGGCGCGAAAGCGUGGGGAGCAUGCAGG